rnacentral:rRNA from 1 species
UACGAAGGGGGCUAGCGUUGCUCGGAAUCACUGGGCGUAAAGGGUGCGUAGGCGGGUCUUUUAAGUCAGGGGUGAAAUCCUGGAGCUCAACUCCAGAACUGCCUUUGAUACUGAAGAUCUUGAGUUCGGGAGAGGUGAGUGGAACUGCGAGUGUAGAGGGUGAAAAUUUCGUAGAUAUUCGCAAAGAACACCAGUGGCGAAGGCGGCUCACUGGCCCCGAUACUGAACGCUUGAGGAGC